UACAGAGGGGGCAAGCGUUGUUCGGAAUUACUGGGCGUAAAGGGCGCGUAGGCGGCCUGUUAAGUCGAACGUGAAAUCCCCGGGCUCAACCCGGGAACUGCGUCCGAUACUGGCAGGCUUGAAUUCGGGAGAGGGAUGCGGAAUUCCAGGUGUAGCGGUGAAAUGCGUAGAUAUCAGGAGGAACACCGGUGGCGAAGGCGGGUCUCUGGGCCGAUACUGACGCUGAGGAGCGAAAGCGUGGGGAGCGAACAGG
rnacentral:rRNA from 1 species